UACGGAGGGUGCAAGCGUUGCUCGGAAUUAUUGGGCGUAAGGGUAGGUAGGUGGUCUCAUUUGUCUGAGGUGAAAGCCUUGGGCUUAACUCAAGAAGUGCCUCAGAAACGGUGAGACUGGAGUCCUGGAGAGGGUCGUGGAAUUCCCGGUGUAGCGGUGAAAUGCGUAGAGAUCGGGAGGAACACCAGAGGCGAAAGCGGCGACCUGGACAGGUACUGACACUCAACUACGAAAGCGUGGGGAGCAAACAGG
rnacentral:rRNA from 1 species